AAACUGGGAGUUGCCAGCUCCCGGUGAUUGGGUGAGAGUGGAGUAUAAGAAGCUGCUGUUUAGGUUGUUUGUCCUUUUCCACUGAGGGCGUCUCCCCUUUGAGGGGGGAUGAUUCCCACCAUUUUCUCAUCUUUCUGAGGGAUGCCAGUUGGUGACCCAGAUGAACUUGCUUGCAGUAGUUAACCUUUUAGUAGUUCUAUGGAAAAGAUAGUCCUGCUUCCAGCGGCAGGAAACAUUAGUAUCUUUGAUGCUAGUGUGCAGAAUGGAAACGUCGGAGAUGAUGUAGAUCGGAUACAUCUGGAGAGUUGGUGUUGAGGCUGGGCAGUUGAAGACAAUGGGAAGUUGUCUGAUUGGUCAGCCUCAACAGUAGACCGGAAGAUCUCUCAACAACGAAACAAAUAACCGCACAACCAAAAGCAACCAAAACAACCAUGACACUUUUUUUUUAUUUUAGCUUGUUUUUUUAGUUUUUUUUUUUCGCUCAAGUUGUCUGCGUUGCUUGGUUCGGUGGGAUGAGAGGCCCCAACCGGUAAAGUCAAAUGCCUCAUCUUUCUUUAUAAGGCUGUACGCAUAAUUUCUGUCAGCAUGAAACUCCCAAUAAAAAGAGCAAAACAAUGAA